AAUUUUGGACAAUGGGCGCAAGCCUGAUCCAGCCAUGCCGCGGGAGUGAAGAAGGCCUUCGGGUUGUAAAGCUCUUUCGGACGGAAAGAAAUCGCGCAGGCUAAUACCAUGCGCGGAUGACGGUACCGUCAUAAGAAGCACCGGCUAACUACGUGCCAGCAGCCGCGGUAAUACGGAGGGGUCGAGCGGUAAUCGGAAUUACUGGGCGUAAAGCGGUCGCAGGCGGUUGAUUAAAACCGGCGGUAAAUCCCCGGGGUUAACCUGGGAACUGCGGUUGUGAAUGGUCAGCUAGAGUACGGGAGAGGGGGGUGGAAUUCCACGUUUAGCAGUGAAAUGCGUAAAGAUGUGGAGGAACACCGAUGGCGAAGGCAGCCCCCUGGGCCGAUACUGACGCUCAUGCACGAAAGCGUGGGUAGCAAACAGG
rnacentral:rRNA from 1 species